UUCUGUUUCUUCUUCGUUUUCCUUUUUGUAAAUAUUGUUAUCUGAAGCGUUUUAAUCUCGUGAUCCACCAAGCUCGUAUGAGGUUUUAGACUAAAUGAUUUUUGACAGAAAACGCUACGAUGAAUAUAUUCAGAUUUGCAGGGGACAUGACCCAUUUGGCCAGCGUCCUGGUUUUGCUUCUCAAGAUCCAUACCAUCAAAUCUUGCGCCGGAGUUUCUCUUAAGACACAAGAAUUGUACGCGAUUGUUUUUGCCACUCGCUACUUGGAUUUAUUCACGACCUUUAUCUCUAUUUACAAUACCACUUUGAAGUUGAUAUUCUUGGGAAGCUCCUUCUCGAUUGUGUGGUACAUUAGGCAUCACAAAACUGUUCGGAGAUCAUAUGAUAAACAGCACGACACUUUCCGCCACCUUUUCCUUGUUAUUCCAUGUCUGCUUUUGGCCCUCGUUAUAAAUGAUAAGUUUACCUUCAAAGAGGUCAUGUGGACGUUCUCUAUAUACUUGGAAGCUGUUGCCAUCCUGCCUCAGCUAGUCUUGUUGCAGAGGACUAGAAAUAUCGACAACUUGACCGGACAAUAUGUUUUCCUACUGGGUGCAUACCGUGCCUUCUACAUUCUGAACUGGAUUUAUCGCUACUUCACUGAGCCAUAUUACAUCCAUUCUUGGAUAACUUGGAUAUCGGGGCUUGUUCAGACACUGCUUUAUGCUGAUUUCUUCUAUUAUUACUUCCAAAGCUGGAAGAACAACUCAAAACUCGAGCUGCCAGCUUGAUCAUUGAGGAAAUGGUGCCUGCACUACUUGGAAGAGCAUCCAACAACUGCUAGCUUUUCUGGAGUGGCUUUUUCCCCCUUUUUUAUCCGGAGAAUGGAUAUAAACAUAUCAAACAGGUAGCAGUGGGUGCAGCAAUGAGCAAUCGCAAUCAUGCCCCAAAGGCAGUAAGUCGGCGGAACAUGAUUUUCGUACUUGAAAGUCACGAGUUCGAUUAUCGCUAGGAGUAUCCCCAUCAGUUAAUCGAGAUGUUGGGUGCUUGCAAGAGACCUUGAUUUUUGUCCACCAGAUCAGUAAACAUGCUCCCUGGUGCACGUUUUGCGCACCAAGAGUGCCCAGUUGGGUGUGCGGGCUCCACACGCCCGCUGGCGCAUUUUUCUACUGCAAUUUUUUCUUUUCUUCUUUCCAUUAUCUCUUAUGUUCUUUCUCUUAGUUAUAUCUACAAA